rnacentral:misc_RNA from 1 species
CAUGGACUGACGGCGUUUGACGGAUUCUGAUUGGGGGUAAAGGUUUCAUCCCAUAAAGAAGCGCAUUAAGUCGCCCCUUUGUGGUGUGUUGAAUGUUAAAGAACACAUAUUCCACUUUGAGGUUAUUCGGAUUACCAUUACUCUUCGGUAGACAUGCCGCUCCUGACUGUUUCAACAUUGUACCACACGCAAUGGUUAUUUGUUGACAAGUGAACGAUGAGAUCAAGCCAGCAAUUCACGGCGCGGAACUGACGAGGCCAAGGGACGCCCUGCCGUAUUGACGGAUAACAACAAGGCUACGAUAACGGGGAGUAAUUACAAUGUGGGGAUGAGCUGAAAAAACAACCAUCGAAUCGAAAUUGACAUUAUCAAAACAGUUUUCCUGUUGUUGUUCAAACUUAGCGACGAGGAUAUGAUUUGCUUAAAACAGGAGUGACACGCAUUUGGAUGGUAAACAGUGACAGAUUAGCAGAACUAUUUUAGUGAAGCUAUCCACGACAUUCCCGGGAGGUGUGAAUGCUCAUAAGUGCUGAAACUGGAUUUAUAAGAGCAAUCGAGACAAUAAGUGGCUCAAGUGGUACAAAAAGAGCAAUUGUGAAACGUGGCGAUUGGGUCCUAGAUUGUAGUUAGCGGCAAUGGAGGACGAAACGCCAUAUAACGUAAAUGCAACUAUCACUGACGUCCCCGCUAAUACUACAGUCCCACCCUUUUACUUAGAUGGACACCGAUCAGAAAACGAUUUCUAUGCCUUCCAUAGACCUUUAUUUGGAUACGUGGAUCGCUACGUGACGUGUAUAUGGUACGUCAUUGGACUAAGCGGAAAUACGCUUGCGUUUCUAGUUUGGAUUCGAAAGCGCAUGCGCCACUCAAGCGGAUGCUACUUAUCCGCUCUUGCAUUAGCAGAUCUUAUCUUCCUAUUGCUUCAUAUAUGUUUCGAGCUGGAACAAACGUGGAAUCUAAAAGUGAUAUCAGUGCCUAUAUACUGUGAAAUUUACCCGAUUCUAUCAAUGACUUUCCAGUACACAUCCCCGUUGUUUGUCUUGGGAUUUACAGUGGAGCGAUAUAUAUCAGUGUGUCAUCCAUUCAAACGGGAACAAUACUGUACCAUAAAGAAAGCAGUUGUCGUUAUCGUUGCAUUAAUGGCGACAUGUUUAGCAUUAAGUGCUGUUCAAGGCUACUUUUGGCAGUACAACUAUGUUAAAAAGGAAUGUUAUCCCAGAGCGGAGGUUGUAGCUGGGGGAACAUAUUCCCCGUGGUCUAUAUGGAGCUGGAUCACGGAAAUGACCAUAUUUGGCUUUGUGCCCAUAAUGGUAUUAUUUUUCAACAUUUUGGUGAUAUGUGAGGCGAGAAAGAUGCGUAAGCUGGAAAUUACAUUGGGAGCUAAGAAGAGUAAGAAAUCAGCCUCCACAACGUUUAUGUUACUUGUUGUAUCAUUUUAUCUAAUUAUUACAACUCUUCCAGCUACAAUAAUGUACGUUUUGUAUUUCUACUUUCCCUAUGGUGAUACUAAUAUGAACGAUGAACAAAUUAAGCUCGAUGAGACAUGGCAGAGACAUUUGGAUUACAAGACAAUUGGACAAAUUGUUUACGAGAUAUGCAUGUCCCACUACGCUUGUAAUUUCUUCAUCUACGUCGCAACUGGGAAAUUAUUUCGUAGGGAACUGAAAUUUAUAAUCUAUCAAUACAUUUGUAGGAAAGACUGGCGACAGUUAAGAGGAAAGGAAUUUACAGAAAGUUGUGGGUCUCCAGGAACAAUGAAAACAACUGUUGAUCACAAUACGCGUCUGUUGAAUGGCAACAACAACGCGCACACUGUGCUGUAGCAAACUGCGAACGCGUUCGUUCGUAACUUUAAUGCAAUUUGAAUAUUGAUUAAAAGCAUUACAAAACGUGCUUUGAUUUGUAAUUAUAUCUUUAGUCAUUCCCUGUCAAAACAAAUGACAAAGUGAAGUUCAGUUAACAAACCAGGAACACUGUGUUUGAUGUUGGCAUUUUAGUUGAGGUUGUAUUGAAGAGGCGUAGAGCGCUAUCUUUUAUUGUCAUGAUUAGUUAUAAUUAUAUUAUACAUUAAUAAUAGUUGAAUAAAAAAGACGCAGCAACACAUCGUGUAAAUUAUUUGACAUUAGUUUUUAAAUUUAUUAAAUCGUGAAAGACAAUUAAAAAGUAACACGUAAUUAAAUAAAUAAGUCAUAAUUUAAAGCGAAUGUUUGUUAGACACCGGAGAAGUUAGAUAAAAUCAACCUUCAUA